GGAGGGUGCAAGCGUUGUUCGGAAUUAUUGGGCGUAAAGAGCGUGUAGGCGGUCCGGUAAGUCAGAUGUGAAAGCCCUGGGCUCAACCCAGGAAGUGCAUUUGAAACUACCAGACUUGAGUACGGGAGAGGAGGGGGGAAUUCCCGGUGUAGAGGUGAAAUUCGUAGAUAUCGGGAGGAAUACCAGUGGCGAAGGCGCCCUCUGGACCGAUACUGACGCUGAGACGCGAAAGCGUGGGGAGCAAACAGGAUUAGAUACCCUGGUAGUCCACGCCGUAAACGAUGAGCACUAGGUGUAGCGGGUAUUGACCCCCCCUGCUGUGCCCGUAGCUAACGCAUUAAGUGCUCCGCCUGGGGGACUACGGUCGCAAGACUAA
rnacentral:rRNA from 1 species